AGAGUUUGAUCCUGGCUCAGAUUGAACGCUGGCGGCAUGCCUUACACAUGCAAGUCGAACGGCAGCACGGAGCUUGCUCUGGUGGCGAGUGGCGAACGGGUGAGUAAUAUAUCGGAACGUACCCUAGAGUGGGGGAUAGCGUAGCGAAAGUUACGCUAAUACCGCAUACGAUCUAAGGAUGAAAGUGGGGGAUCGCAAGACCUCAUGCUCGUGGAGCGGCCGAUAUCUGAUUAGCUAGUUGGUAGGGUAAAAGCCUACCAAGGCAUCGAUCAGUAGCUGGUCUGAGAGGACGACCAGCCACACUGGAACUGAGACACGGUCCAGACUCCUACGGGAGGCAGCAGUGGGGAAUUUUGGACAAUGGGCGAAAGCCUGAUCCAGCAAUGCCGCGUGAGUGAAGAAGGCCUUCGGGUUGUAAAGCUCUUUUGUCAGGGAAGAAACGGUGAGAGCUAAUAUCUUUUGCUAAUGACGGUACCUGAAGAAUAAGCACCGGCUAACUACGUGCCAGCAGCCGCGGUAAUACGUAGGGUGCAAGCGUUAAUCGGAAUUACUGGGCGUAAAGCGUGCGCAGGCGGUUUUGUAAGUCUGAUGUGAAAUCCCCGGGCUCAACCUGGGAAUUGCAUUGGAGACUGCAAGGCUAGAACCUGGCAGAGGGGGGUAGAAUUCCACGUGUAGCAGUGAAAUGCGUAGAUAUGUGGAGGAACACCGAUGGCGAAAGCAGCCCCCUGGGUCAAGAUUGACGCUCAUGCACGAAAGCGUGGGGAGCAAACAGGAUUGGAUACCCUGGUAGUCCACGCCCUAAACGAUGUCUACUAGUUGUCGGGUCUUAAUUGACUUGGUAACGCAGCUACGCGUGAAGUAGAC
rnacentral:rRNA from 1 species